AACAGGAUUAGAUACCCUGGUAGUCCACGCCCUAAACGAUGUCUACUAGUUGUCGGGUUUUAAUUAACUUGGUAACGCAGCUAACGCGUGAAGUAGACCGCCUGGGGAGUACGGUCGCAAGAUUAAAACUCAAAGGAAUUGACGGGGACCCGCACAAGCGGUGGAUGAUGUGGAUUAAUUCGAUGCAACGCGAAAAACCUUACCUACCCUUGACAUGGAAGGAAUCCUGAAGAGAUUUGGGAGUGCCCGAAAGGGAACCUUCACACAGGUGCUGCAUGGCUGUCGUCAGCUCGUGUCGUGAGAUGUUGGGUUAAGUCCCGCAACGAGCGCAACCCUUGUCAUUAGUUGCUACGCAAGAGCACUCUAAUGAGACUGCCGGUGACAAACCGGAGGAAGGUGGGGAUGACGUCAAGUCCUCAUGGCCCUUAUGGGUAGGGCUUCACACGUCAUACAAUGGUACAUACAGAGGGCCGCCAACCCGCGAGGGGGAGCUAAUCCCAGAAAGUGUAUCGUAGUCCGGAUUGUAGUCUGCAACUCGACUACAUGAAGUUGGAAUCGCUAGUAAUCGCGGAUCAGCAUGUCGCGGUGAAUACGUUCCCGGGUCUUGUACACACCGCCCGUCACACCAUGGGAGCGGGUUUUACCAGAAGUAGGUAGCUUAACCGCAAGGAGGGCGCUUACCACGGUAGGAUUCGUGACUGGGGUGAAGUCGUAACAAGGUAACC
rnacentral:rRNA from 1 species